rnacentral:lncRNA from 1 species
AUGCUGCAGUUUCCGCUGAGGUAAGCAAUUUUCUACGAAUUAUUAAAUGAACUAUCAGCUCAAGUAUGUAGUAAUGUAUGAAUUAAAUAUGAUAAAUUAUUAGGUGAAGGAGCAUACUGCAACUGGUGAAGCUAUGGACCAAGCUGCUGUUGAGAAUGAUGAUAUGCAGCAUAGUGCAGAUUCGGUGAAGGUAUGUAAUUAUUUGGUUCGUACUGUAUAUGUUUUUAGAAUGGUAGUAUAAAUCAUCAUGAAAUGCAUUUUUCUAUCAGGUUAUUUGGUCCACUGAUGCUGAGACUAAGAAGGAAUGUGGAGCUCCGACCAAAUA